AUGGUCCAAGGUAGCGCCGACGGCUCCGGCGAAGCUUCAUUGCAACUCCGGUCGAGCUCCAUUGCAGCCCUGCCGGAGCUCCACCGCAGCGCCGACGGCUCCGAUGAAGCUCCAUUGCAGCCCGGCUUGGUCCAAGGCAGCGCCGACGGCUCCGGCUCCACGGGUCACAUGUCGCUUGCUGCACUGCAACUCCCCGCCGAUUCGCGUUGCAGCGUCACUGGUCGACGGCGAGAUCGUGGGGUCGCAGCGCUGCUGUGGUUGGACUGGCCGCGCCUAGAAAAAAGAGAAGAAGCAGGUGGAGCGGUGAUGGCAGCUGGUGGUGCCUACAGCAGCAGGUUGGGUUGGCUCAUGCAGCGGUAG
rnacentral:rRNA from 1 species